UUCCAGGGAUGGGAAUCAUACCCACAUUGUUCCGCUUACCGGGCAGAUGCCAUGUCCACUAGGCUACCCUAGC